AGAACGAACGCUGGCGGCAUGCCUAAUACAUGCAAGUCGAACGAACUCUUCGGAGUUAGUGGCGCACGGGUGCGUAACGCGUGGGAAUCUGCCCCUUGGUUCGGAAUAACAGUUGGAAACGACUGCUAAUACCGGAUGAUGACGAAAGUCCAAAGAUUUAUCGCCAAGGGAUGAGCCCGCGUAGGAUUAGCUAGUUGGUGAGGUAAAGGCUCACCAAGGCAACGAUCCUUAGCUGGUCUGAGAGGAUGAUCAGCCACACUGGGACUGAGACCACGGCCCAGACU
rnacentral:rRNA from 1 species